rnacentral:rRNA from 1 species
AUGAAUCUUGUGAGCAACGAUAUGUACCUUAAAUUGGCAAAAGCUGAUUUCAGAGAAUAUCAAAGAUUCUCCAGACUUGAGUGGAAUGGCCUGAGAAAGUGGUAUUUCAGGAACCAUCUGCAGAGGUAUGGUGGUACUCCGAAGAGCGCUCUCACGGCGUACUUCUUAGCCUCGGCAAACAUCUUCGAGCCUGGACGAGCAGCAGAGCGUCUAGCAUGGGCUCGCACAGCGGUGCUUACCGGGGCGGUGACAUCUCACUUCCUACACAUUGGUGGUCCAAAGGAUUCAACAGAGAAUCUUGAAGAGCUUACCGACCUUGUUUCAUUUGACGACGUUUCCGGCAGUCUUCGUGAAGCUUGGAAGAAGUGGCUCAUGGCAUGGACUGCAAAGGAGAAUUAUGGAUCCAUUGAUGGAGAUACAGCACUGUUGUUGGUUCGCACAAUCGAGAUCUGCUCAGGGAGGAAUAUUUCAGCCGAACAGAAACUGAACCUUUGGGAUUAUUCCCAGCUGGAGAAGCUUACGUCUUCCAUCUGCCGCAAGCUUGCCACAAGAGUUGUGGCUCAGAAUGGGGAACGUUUGAAGAACACAGAGGACUUAGACAUGCAAGUAGAUUUGGAGAUGGAAGAACUAUCUUGGUGUAUUCAUCAGGGUUGUCAUGGGAUCAAUAUAGAGACUAGGCAGACAUUUCUCCACGUGGUGAAAAGCUUCUACUACUCUGCUCAUUGCUCGCCUGAAACAGUUGAUAGUCACAUUGCGAAGGUCAUAUUCCAGGAUGUCAUUUAG